rnacentral:rRNA from 2 species
AGUCGAACGCGUUGGCCCAAUUGAUUGAUGGUGCUUGCACCUGAUUGAUUUUGGUCGCCAACGAGUGGCGGACGGGUGAGUAACACGUAGGUAACCUGCCCAGAAGCGGGGGACAACAUUUGGAAACAGAUGCUAAUACCGCAUAACAGCGUUGUUCGCAUGAACAACGCUUAAAAGAUGGCUUCUCGCUAUCACUUCUGGAUGGACCUGCGGUGCAUUAGCUUGUUGGUGGGGUAACGGCCUACCAAGGCGAUGAUGCAUAGCCGAGUUGAGAGACUGAUCGGCCACAAUGGGACUGAGACACGGCCCAUACUCCUACGGGAGGCAGCAGUAGGGAAUCUUCCACAAUGGGCGCAAGCCUGAUGGAGCAACACCGCGUGAGUGAAGAAGGGUUUCGGCUCGUAAAGCUCUGUUGUUAAAGAAGAACACGUAUGAGAGUAACUGUUCAUACGUUGACGGUAUUUAACCAGAAAGUCACGGCUAACUACGUGCCAGCAGCCGCGGUAAUACGUAGGUGGCAAGCGUUAUCCGGAUUUAUUGGGCGUAAAGAGAGUGCAGGCGGUUUUCUAAGUCUGAUGUGAAAGCCUUCGGCUUAACCGGAGAAGUGCAUCGGAAACUGGAUAACUUGAGUGCAGAAGAGGGUAGUGGAACUCCAUGUGUAGCGGUGGAAUGCGUAGAUAUAUGGAAGAACACCAGUGGCGAAGGCGGCUACCUGGUCUGCAACUGACGCUGAGACUCGAAAGCAUGGGUAGCGAACAGGAUUAGAUACCCUGGUAGUCCAUGCCGUAAACGAUGAGUGCUAGGUGUUGGAGGGUUUCCGCCCUUCAGUGCCGGAGCUAACGCAUUAAGCACUCCGCCUGGGGAGUACGACCGCAAGGUUGAAACUCAAAGGAAUUGACGGGGGCCCGCACAAGCGGUGGAGCAUGUGGUUUAAUUCGAAGCUACGCGAAGAACCUUACCAGGUCUUGACAUCUUGCGCCAACCCUAGAGAUAGGGCGUUUCCUUCGGGAACGCAAUGACAGGUGGUGCAUGGUCGUCGUCAGCUCGUGUCGUGAGAUGUUGGGUUAAGUCCCGCAACGAGCGCAACCCUUGUUACUAGUUGCCAGCAUUAAGUUGGGCACUCUAGUGAGACUGCCGGUGACAAACCGGAGGAAGGUGGGGACGACGUCAGAUCAUCAUGCCCCUUAUGACCUGGGCUACACACGUGCUACAAUGGACGGUACAACGAGUCGCGAACUCGCGAGGGCAAGCAAAUCUCUUAAAACCGUUCUCAGUUCGGACUGCAGGCUGCAACUCGCCUGCACGAAGUCGGAAUCGCUAGUAAUCGCGGAUCAGCAUGCCGCGGUGAAUACGUUCCCGGGCCUUGUACACACCGCCCGUCACACCAUGAGAGUUUGUAACACCCAAAGUCGGUGGGGUAACCUUUUAGGAGCCAGCCGCCUAAG